GGAGUAUGAAUGCUGCUGAUUCCUCAUAUCGUCCAACGAGUCAAAAUAAACAAUUGAGGCGUUCAAACUGACUCGUUGGACGAAAUGAGGAAGCAACAGCAUUCAUACUCC